AUUGAACGCUGGCGGCAGGCCUAACACAUGCAAGUCGAGCGGAUGAAGGGAGCUUGCUCCUGGAUUCAGCGGCGGACGGGUGAGUAAUGCCUAGGAAUCUGCCUGGUAGUGGGGGAUAACGUCCGGAAACGGGCGCUAAUACCGCAUACGUCCUGCGGGAGCAAGUGGGGGAUCUUCGGACCUCACGCUAUCAGAUGAGCCUAGGUCGGAUUAGCUAGUUGGUGGGGUAAAGGCCUACCAAGGCGACGAUCCGUAACUGGUCUGAGAGGAUGAUCAGUCACACUGGAACUGAGACACGGUCCAGACUCCUACGGGAGGCAGCAGUGGGGAAUAUUGGACAAUGGGCGAAAGCCUGAUCCAGCCAUGCCGCGUGUGUGAAGAAGGUCUUCGGAUUGUAAAGCACUUUAAGUUGGGAGGAAGGGCAGUAAGUUAAUACCUUGCUGUUUUGACGUUACCAACAGAAUAAGCACCGGCUAACUUCGUG
rnacentral:rRNA from 1 species